rnacentral:rRNA from 1 species
UACGUAGGGCGCAAGCGUUUGUCCGGAAUUAUUGGGCGUAAAGAGCUCGUAGGUGGCUUGUCGCGUCGGGUGUGAAAGCUUGGGGCUUAACUCCAGGUCUGCAUUCGAUACGGGCUGGCUAGAGGUAGGUAGGGGAGAACGGAAUUCCCGGUGUAGUGGUGAAAUGCGUAGAUAUCGGGAGGAACACCAGUGGCGAAGGCGACUACCUGGCCUGUUCUUGACGCUGAGGCGCGAAAGCUAGGGGAGCAAACGGG